CCGAAAAGAAGAUGCAUCUUGUUGGUAUAGGUAGUACCCAUCAAUCCUUAUAAGCCUUCCUUCCACCACGCAGUCUCAAACCCGCACAGCCUCAGGAUCCCUCUCAUUCCGAUGUGAUUCGUUUUUGCCUAGAUGCUGCCAGGAGCCGUUAAUUGUCAUGCCUCAUGCACUGACAACCACUCCCCGCCCUCGUCAGACCCGGGCGUUACACUCCAUACCUCCACCUUCCUCCAAUUUCACUAUUUCUUCUCUUUUAACUUUGAUGGAU
rnacentral:lncRNA from 1 species